AUCUCGUGAUGAGGACACUUUCGGAUCAGGUCUUUGAAUCUCUUCCAGGCUUCAUAAAGGGACUCAUUAUCUUGCUGGAUGAAGUAAUUGAUCUCCGAUCUCAAUCU